CGCUCCUUGGAGAGGCUGUGGGCUUUGGGCUUCAGCGCAGAAGCUGCGAGUGUAGCAGGUUUCGUACCUGGUGUUCCUUGCCGUUAAUUCAGGACUGCUGCCACCAGGCACGUCCCUGGGUCCCGCCGCUCCCUCCACACUCUCGGCACUGCCAGCAGUAAGAAAUUUUGCUACGACACUCGCUUCAGCAAGAGAUCUGCUUUCUUAGAACUGUAGCUGUCUGACUUUGAACCUGAGGAUGACUGCACUUACCCCAUGUCUCUGCUCAAGUGCUGGGAUUACAGGUCUGUGUGUGCUGUGUUCCUGUGGUGCCCUACAAUACCAGAAGAACAUACGGAGUCCCCUGGAACUGGAGCUACAAGUUCCAGGAGUCAAAUUUGAUCUUAUGCAUGCUUGGCAAGCAGUCUAUCCCUGAUUUCAAUCCUCUAGCCUUUAGGGGUUUUUUUGAGACAGUCUUUCUUUGUAGCUCAUGCUGGUCUCCUACGUAAUCCUCCUACCUUGUCUCCAGAAUGCUGGGGUUACAGGCCUCUGCUACCUUGCCUAUCCAAAGUUAACUUUUUACACAUUAAGAAAACAAACAUGAAAGAAGAAGAGGCUUUUCUAGGAAGGAGUAUGGGGAACAUAGAAGGGGGAUGAGAAGGUGAUGCUGUUAGAAAAUAUGCUGCUUGUGAUGACAUACAUUGAGCCCUUUGAUCCAGUGAAGUUAUUAAAGAAUGUAGUUUUGAAAUCAUGGUAAAAUCUGGGGUACUUGCUUUUACAGCCGAUCCUACAAAUUGAAAUCAGUUGGCUUCUGAAUUUCUCCCCAGGAAAAUGAAGAUCAAGAACGCACCUCGACACAGCAGGGAUUCUGAGGAGUAAUGGAUCCAUAAAUAUCUCAGACGGAGACAUGGACAAAGGAACAGGUAUGUCCUCCAUUAGGUAAGUGAUAGUUGACCAUGGAAGAAACAUUUUGCUGGUGUAGUGGCUCAUGCCUGUAAUGCCACCACUUGGGAGGCUGAGCCAGGAGGAUGCAGGCAGGGCUACAUAGUUAAGACCCAUCCCAACUGAAGAAAAGGAGUAAGGGACGAAAAAAAGUUACCCCUUUUCCCUUUGGCUAUUUUCUGGUAUUUGUUGUAUUCAAUAGGUUUUCUAUGACUGAGCUAGCCUGACAUUUCUGGGAAAACUCUACUUCCCAAGGCUUCUGAAUUCAGUCUGUUAAAUUUGCUAUUUUUAAUUUUAUUCUUUUUUUUUUAAUUCAUUAGUGUUUUAUUUCCAGAUCCCAAUUUUGGGUGGGGAAGGUUGAAAGACUUUUGUCAUUUGAUGGAAUCAUUACUGAUAUGGUUUUUACCUGCUUAUUCAAACUAAGGAGAUCUCAAACAUAUGCCAUGCCGUUAAAUAUGCUUUAAUGGCAUCAUUUUAAAACUGGCACACAGUAUCCACUGUAUGAAUAGAGGACAUUAAUUUACAUUUGCUGUUUCGACUCAUCUUAGUGUUCUGCCUUCCUUCUUUUCUCUUCUGAGCUGGAGAUCUAAUCCAGGACUGUUACAGGCUAGGCAAGCAUACUUCCACUGAGCUACGCCCCCAGCCCAAAGUGCUCUCUUAACUGUACUUACAUAGAGAACGCUACAGUUAGCAUCCUUGUAGGUCAGUUGUUCAAUAUCAUGCUUAUCUCCUGAGAUUGGAUGAAGUAUACAGUCCCUCUAAUGAAUAUGAAGAUAGCCAUUUUUCCACAUUCCACAUUGACUCCAGUAAACUGUAUUAAGUGAUUUUCGAAAAAAUUCACCAAUUGCAAGAUAAAUGUAGUAGUUCAUGCCUAUAAUGCCAGCAAUUGGAAGACUGAGGCUGGAAUAUCACUGGAAGAUGGAGUCCAGCAUGUCCUUUGUUAUGUAAUUCUGUUCUCCAAAAUACCACAAACAAGAAAAGAAAAUUUUUUUUUUACUGUUUGUGAAAGCAAUUGAUUCUUAAUGAAAUAAAGCAAGCAUAGUGUUUUUUGGCUCUUCGAGUUUUAUUCCUCUUUUAAAUUUUUUGUUGUUGUUGUUGUU